AGUUUUCGGUUCAUAAGCGGGAUGAUUGGGUUUUCACAUGCUUGUGUGGCAUGUGCCUCCCUCUAAACGUUGUUACAAUGUUGACACAUUACUUGUCUGACA
rfam:Dipodomys ordii contig_30909, whole genome shotgun sequence.